rnacentral:rRNA from 1 species
AGAACGAACGCUGGCGGCAGGCCUCAAACAUGCAAGUCUAGGGGGUGUAGCAAUACAUCACCGGCGGACGGGUGCGUAACGCGUGGGAAUAUACCUUUUGGUUCGGAACAACUGAGGGAAACUUCAGCUAAUACCGAAUGUGCCCUAACGGGGAAAGAUUUAUCGCCAAAGGAUUAGCCCGCGUAGGAUUAGCUAGUUGGUGAGGUAAUGGCUCACCAAGGCUCCGAUCCUUAGCUGUUCUGAGAGGAAGAUCAGCCACACUGGGACUGAGACACGGCCCAGACUCCUACGGGAGGCAGCAGUUGGGAAUCUUGGACAAUGGGGAAACCCUGAUCCAGCCAUGCCGCGUGAGUGAUGAAGGCCUUCGGGUUGUAAAACUCUUUCGACGGGGACGAUAAUGACGGUACCCGUAGAAGAAGCUCCGGCUAACUUCGCGCCAGCAGCCGC